AAUGCACCAAUUUCCAAGUCGCUCUGGAUAAGAGCGUCUGCUAAAUUACGUAAA
rfam:Salmo salar isolate Sally breed double haploid chromosome ssa04, whole genome shotgun sequence.